ACAAAAGUUUGAGAAGUAGUGCAGAAUUCACAAACAAACAAACCGUUCAAGUGGUCUUGCAGAUUCCCUCGUGGCAUAUAUUCAUAAACCAAGAACCUAUGCUUCCCAUCUGCACAAUAGCCUAUUAAAGAUACAAGAUUGGGAUGGUCCAAUCUGCUUAAGAUAUCAACUUCCACCCGGAAUUCGCGUUCCCCUUCUGCUGCUUUAAAUGACGGUGGAGCGCUGCCGUCAAUUUUCCAACACUCCACCGGUUUAUAUACCCCUGAAAAAGGGAAAGCAGAAAUUAAGGAAUUGAUCGCCAAAAAAAGCAAGUGAAUUGCAUGGGUGCAACAACUAAGUUGUAACGCAACAGGAGUAGAAGAAGACGAGACAUUAGAAACUGAAACAUACAAGGAUUGAUGUGAUCCUCGGACUUGCUUCUGCGGCGCUUAUUCCACGCUGAAACCAAACCGAACGGCAUGACAACUCUUGCUUAAGAUGAUCUCCAGUUUGUGGAUUGAAUAAAGCACGCAUUCAGUUGAAGAGUGAAGGGCUAUACUCAUGGCAGUCUAUGCUAUGCAACAGGAAAAGGAGAAUGAGAACUUACAAAGCUGGCUCGCAAAAAUAUGGAGGAAGAGAAGUUAAGAUGAUGGUCAUUACCUCAUUAUAGACUGGUUGGUGUUGAACCGGAGUCGUGCUGAUUAUACAGAUUGAGAGAAUUGGAGAAGGAUAUUAAGUAUAAGCAGAAUUUGAUACUAUGUAGCAUCAGAAUCCUGUAGGAGUACGUACAAAGCAACCGAACUGAGAGACUAGCUUUGAGAAAUACUCAAAAAAGUGUAGUAAUACCAAUCAGCCAACAACCUGCAAAUCUCACUUGAUGAACAAGAAAAAGUAAACAAAGGAAUGAAUAAAAUGGCCAAACCGGUUGCUUGCCUUUGAUAGAGGGGGGUGGUGUGGUGUGGUGGGGUAAGGGAGGUACCUCUGAAAAGGAAAGAGGAGCCGCAGCCUCACCUCCUUGUGAUUUUGUGUGACUUGCGAAAAGAUUGUUGUUGUUGUUUCCUUUUCAUUUUGAUUACUUUCUAAUCUUUUAUAUGAUUUACCUGUGUUGCAAUUAGAAUUUAGUAAGCAAGAAAAGGGCUGUUAUAUGCUGUUAGUGGUUUGAAAAAGGACGUUCAUGACAAUUGUUGGCGAGUCGUCGUGUGA